rnacentral:rRNA from 1 species
GACAGAGGGUGCAAACGUUGUUCGGAAUUACUGGGCGUAAAGCGCGUGUAGGCUGCUCGGAAAGUCGGAUGUGAAAGCCCUGGGCUCAACCUAGGAAGUGCAUUCGAAACUUCCGAGCUAGAGUUCUGGAGAGGAAGGCGGAAUUCUCGGUGUAGAGGUGAAAUUCGUAGAUAUCGAGAGGAACACCGGUGGCGAAGGCGGCCUUCUGGACAGUGACUGACGCUGAGACGCGAAAGCGUGGGGAGCAAACAGG